UUCAACAUCAACAAGUUUAUGCAUUUAUAUGGUAAAAAAAGAGUUUGCUUAGACUUAACGAGUGCUUAGUAUGUUUGUAAUAAACGUUGGACUUGUAUUUAAUUAGCCCAAUGUGCUAAAAGGUAUCCUGUCUAAUAAGUGUUGGAGUGAUCAAGUCUCCGACAUGUGUCGGACAAAGAUGCUAGCCAAACUAGAGUGUCUUGCUUCUCAGGUGACUAUAAUAUUUUUACUAUCUUUUCUCUUCCAAACGAAAAGGGUCAGGCUUUGGUUCAUUUGUUUCUUUCUGCUGUGUUUAUUCAUACUCAGUUUAUGGCAUCUGCUGAAAUAGAAGUCUUUUUCUAUCAGUUGCUGCCGAACCAAAGGAGAUAAAGACAGUUCCAAAGGAAGCUCCAGCAAAGGCCAAACCGCCAGCAAAAGCCCCAGUGAAGCCACUGCCUGAGUUGAUGGACGAAGAAGUCAUACCUUCAUUGAAAGCAAUUCUUGAAGCACAAGCCGAUGUCUCCGAUGUUGCAUUAUCAUUCCAAGACGACAGAGUUAGUUUCUCUC
rnacentral:lncRNA from 1 species